rnacentral:rRNA from 1 species
AUGCUUACCCAAUCUCCAUGCUCCAAUGUUAUUGGCUCCCAGAUGCCAUGCUCCCCAACGGCAAGCAACCAAUCGACACAACACUUCAACAACAGCAUAAGGAGCAGCAGCUCAACAAUCCUGGCGGUGUCCUACGAUGAUGAGGCAUGCAGGUGGGCGGUGGACGCCGGUUGGGAGGACGGGGUGGAAGGAUCUGACUCAAGUAGGAGGAGGAGGGCACGCCACUGCGUCUCGUCUGAGAUAAUUGGUCGUCAUUGGUUGUGGAAGGAUAGGGCGUCGCCGGCUGGGGAGAGGCCGGAGCUCAUGGAGGCAGGCACAGCGGGAGGGAGGAAGAGGUGGGGAGCAACGGGUAGAUAA